rnacentral:rRNA from 1 species
UACGGGGGGGGCAAGCGUUGUUCGGAAUUACUGGGCGUAAAGGGUUCGUAGGUGGCUUGCUAAGUCAGACGUGAAAUCCCUCAGCUUAACUGGGGAACUGCGUCUGAGACUGGUGAGCUUGAGUGCAGGAGAGGAACGCGGAAUUCCAGGUGUAGCGGUGAAAUGCGUAGAUAUCUGGAGGAACACCGGUGGCGAAGGCGGGUCUCUGGGCAUUUCCUGACGCUGAGGCGCGAAAGCGUGGGGAGCAAACGGG